rnacentral:rRNA from 1 species
CAGUCGCCGCGGUAAUACGAAGGGUGCAAGCGUUAAUCGGAAUUACUGGGCGUAAAGCGUGCGUAGGCGGUGAGUUAAGUCUGCUGUGAAAUCCCCGGGCUCAACCUGGGAAUGGCAGUGGAUACUGGCUCGCUAGAGUGUGUCAGAGGAUGGUGGAAUUCCCGGUGUAGCGGUGAAAUGCGUAGAGAUCGGGAGAGACAUCAGUGGCGAAGGCGGCCAUCUGGGACAACACUGACGCUGAGGCACGAAAGCGUGGGGAGCAAACAGGAUUAGAGACCCCUGUAGUCCCUGUCUCUUAUAC